CAGAGGCAGAGAAGAGCAGAGCAGCCAAGCAAAGUGAGAGACCAAGAGAGAUGGCUACGUCCAAGGCAUUCCCAGCUCUGGUCCUUCUGGCGCUCGUCUGCAGCCAGCUCAUGGUCGGCGGCCAUGCCCAGGCGUACAUCGGCGGCACCAGGGGAGGAGGAGGAUCUGCUGCCGGACUGCAGCCACCGACUUCCACCACUACCCAUGGCCACUCCUCCACCAUUGGAGGGCGUUCAGCCGUGGAAGAAGACAAGGCCUUCAUGGUCAACAGCCUGACGGCGCACAACCACCCGCUUCCUGUCCCGCCUUCCGCUCAGUAGAUCGUGAAGUGCAGCCGAGCUUGAGACCAACGAUCAAGUGGCCAGUACUAAUAAUAAGAAUAAAUCUGGGUGAAGUUGUCCAGUUUGCAGGGUGACUCUGUUUCUACCAUCAUCGUCAGGGGUAUAAAAGCAGAGUAGCAUCGAACUAGUAAUAAAAGUAGUGUUGACAAAGCCUCGAGUUUAAAGUGCUAUAUCAAGGCCCUUGAUUCAAUGGAACACAUAAGUUUAUCCCAAAUUUCGUUUACAUCUUACCAAAACAGAAUAUGAAUUUAUCUCAAUUGUGUUCGAUCU